CGAUAGCUCAGUGGUAGAGCGGGGGACUGUAGAUUUAUAAUUGUGAUCCCUAAAUCGCAGGUUCGAAUCCGGCUCG
rnacentral:tRNA from 1 species